CGUGUCGUGAGAUGUUGGGUUAAGUCCCGCAACGAGCGCAACCCUUAAGCUUAGUUGCCAUCAUUAAGUUGGGCACUCUAAGUUGACUGCCGGUGACAAACCGGAGGAAGGUGGGGAUGACGUCAAAUCAUCAUGCCCCUUAUGAUUUGGGCUACACACGUGCUACAAUGGACAAUACAAAGGGCAGCGAAACUGCGAGGUCAAGCAAAUCCCAUAAAGUUGUUCUCAGUUCGGAUUGUAGUCUGCAACUCGACUAUAUGAAGCUGGAAUCGCUAGUAAUCGUAGAUCAGCAUGCUACGGUGAAUACGUUCCCGGGUCUUGUACACACCGCCCGUCACACCACGAGAGUUUGUAACACCCGAAGCCGGUGGAGUAACCAUUUGGAGCUAGCCGUCGAAGGUGGGACAAAUGAUUGGGGUGAAGUCGUAACAAGGUAGCCGUAUCGGAAGGUGCGGCUGGAUCACCUCCUUUCUAAGGA
rnacentral:rRNA from 1 species